rnacentral:rRNA from 1 species
AUGGCCAACCCCUCCAUGGCGGCCGGCGCCGGGGUGCCGUUGGUGGAGGGGGUCCAUGCCGUUGGGGCCCAGAUCCGCAACCGCUUCCGCGUGGCGCCCGUCGACCGCGUGGCUGCGGCCCUGGCGACGCGAUGGUAG